AGGCUGGCGCAGCUACACAUGCAAGUCGAGCGGUAACAGAUCCAGCUUGCUGGAUGCUGACGAGCGGCGGACGGGUGAGUAAUGCAUAGGAAUCUGCCCGAUAGUGGGGGAUAACCUGGGGAAACCCAGGCUAAUACCGCAUACGUCCUACGGGAGAAAGGGGGCUUCGGCUCCCGCUAUCGGAUGAGCCUAUGUCGGAUUAGCUAGUUGGUGAGGUAACGGCUCACCAAGGCGACGAUCCGUAGCUGGUCUGAGAGGAUGAUCAGCCACAUCGGGACUGAGACACGGCCCGAACUCCUACGGGAGGCAGCAGUGGGGAAUAUUGGACAAUGGGGGGAACCCUGAUCCAGCCAUGCCGCGUGUGUGAAGAAGGCCCUCGGGUUGUAAAGCACUUUCAGCGAGGAAGAACGCCUAGCGGUUAAUACCCGCUAGGAAAGACAUCACUCGCAGAAGAAGCACCGGCUAACUCCGUGCCAGCAGCCGCGGUAAUACGGAGGGUGCAAGCGUUAAUCGGAAUUACUGGGCGUAAAGCGCGCGUAGGUGGCUUGAUAAGCCGGUUGUGAAAGCCCCGGGCUCAACCUGGGAACGGCAUCCGGAACUGUCAAGCUAGAGUGCAGGAGAGGAAGGUAGAAUUCCCGGUGUAGCGGUGAAAUGCGUAGAGAUCGGGAGGAAUACCAGUGGCGAAGGCGGCCUUCUGGACUGACACUGACACUGAGGUGCGAAAGCGUGGGUAGCAAACAGGAUUAGUCCCUCU
rnacentral:rRNA from 1 species